rnacentral:tRNA from 1 species
GGGGUUAUAGCUCAAUGGUAGAGCAUAUGCUUAGAAUAUACAAACCCUUGGGUUCAGUUCCCAACACUGUCA